GACGAACGCUGGCGGCGUGCUUAACACAUGCAAGUCGAACGGAAAGGCCCUGCUUUUGUGGGGUGCUCGAGUGGCGAACGGGUGAGUAACACGUGAGUAACCUGCCUUUGACUUUGGGAUAACUUCAGGAAACUGGGGCUAAUACCGGAUAGGAGCUCCUGCUGCAUGGUGGGGGUUGGAAAGUUUCGGCGGUUGGGGAUGGACUCGCGGCUUAUCAGCUUGUUGGUGGGGUAGUGGCUUACCAAGGCUUUGACGGGUAGCCGGCCUGAGAGGGUGACCGGCCACAUUGGGACUGAGAUACGGCCCAGACUCCUACGGGAGGCAGCAGUGGGGAAUAUUGCACAAUGGGCGGAAGCCUGAUGCAGCAACGCCGCGUGCGGGAUGACGGCCUUCGGGUUGUAAACCGCUUUCGCCUGUGACGAAGCGUGAGUGGCGGUAAUGGGUAAAGAAGCACCGGCUAACUACGUG
rnacentral:rRNA from 1 species